AUGAGAUGGAGGGCAGAGAUCAAUUCGUUUAAGAGUUUGUUAGUGAGAUGUCAAAUUCUGUUACUUCAGUUUAUUGCUGAGCUGGCAUCGGUUAUAAGUUAUUUGUUUAGUGAAGGUAGUUAUUAUGAUUUUACUGAUUUUUUAUUAGUGAUAGUAUGGUUUAAAAUGGACUGGUUUUUGCAGGGUACAAUUGGUACAAUCAUGUAG